GACGAACGCUGGCGGCGUGCCUAAUACAUGCAAGUUGAGCGAUGAAGAUUGGUGCUUGCACCAAUUUGAAGAGCAGCGAACGGGUGAGUAACGCGUGGGGAAUCUGCCUUUGAGCGGGGGACAACAUUUGGAAACGAAUGCUAAUACCGCAUAACAACUUUAAACAUAAGUUUUAAGUUUGAAAGAUGCAAUUGCAUCACUCAAAGAUGAUCCCGCGUUGUAUUAGCUAGUUGGUGAGGUAAAGGCUCACCAAGGCGAUGAUACAUAGCCGACCUGAGAGGGUGCUGGGCCACAGUGAGACUGACACGGCCCAAACUCCUACGGGAGGCAGCAGUAGGGAAUCUUCGGCAAUGGACGAAAGGCUGACCGAGCAACGCCGCGUGAGUGAAGAAGGGUUUCGGAUCGUAAAACUCGGUUGGUAGAGAAGAACGUUGGUGAGAGUGGAAAGCUCAUCAAGUGACGGUAACUACCCAGAAAGGGACGGCUAACUACGUG
rnacentral:rRNA from 1 species